rnacentral:lncRNA from 1 species
CAGGCGCAGGUCUGGGUCCUGGGAACCUCAGCUGGAGUGGGGGCGCCCUCUGCUGGCCAAGCCCCAGAUGGCAGGGGCUGGACCGCGCCAGGGCUUGAUUCGCUUGCUGCCUUUGACCAGCCUGAACUCGCGCCCAGGAGGGGCUUACACCUGCACAAGUGAGCCGAGCAGGCACGGAUUGUGACCAGAGCGAUGCGUCAACCAUUGGGUGAUGCUGUAGCAUCUACUGGAGCAGGAGGCAAAUUUAGAGAGGGACUUGGAGGGGAGACAUAUCAGUUGCAAAUGAGUUGUGGGGACAGUUGCCUCCCAGGCAUAGGUAACCAGCACCUGUGCUUGGAGGCGAACAGGGCUUGGUGAGGUGGGGCUGGCCCCCUGCUUCUGGCUGCCAGCAGCUGGCUGGGGGGUGGUGAUCCUGGGUCUGACUGGGCUGAGUUUGAGGAGCCCGUGGGAUACCGAAAACCGUAGGCUGUGGGGGGUGGGCACAGGGAUUCCGGGACCAGCCUGUCAUGACCCCGUGCUCCAGGUCUGCAGGGACCAGCCCAUGACAGCCCAGGGCUCCAGGUCUGCGGGGACCAGCCCGUCACAGCCCAGGGCUCCAGGCCUGCGGGGACCAGCCCGUCACGGCCCCAGUUCUCCAGGCCUGCGGGGACCAGCCCGUCAGGCUCAGUGCUCCAGGCCUGCGGGGACCAGCCCGUCAUGACCCCAGUGCUCCACGUCUGUGGGGACCAGCCCGUCAGCCUGUGCUCCAGGCCUGCAGGGACCAGCUCAUCAGCCUCAGUGCUCCAGGCCUGCGGGGACCAGCCCUUCACAGCCCCAGUGCUCCAGGCCUGCGGGGACCAGCCCGUCAUGACCCCAGUGCUCCAGGUCUGUGGGGACCAGCCCGUCAGCCUGUGCUCCAGGCCUGCGGGGACCAGCUCAUCAGCCUCAGUGCUCCAGGCCUGCGGGGACCAGCCCUUCACAGCCCCAGUGCUCCAGGCCUGCGGGGACCAGCCCGUCAUGACCUCAGUGCUCCAGGUCUGUGGGGACCAGCCCGUCACGGCGCAGGGUUCCAGGCUUGGGGGGACCAGCCUGUCACAGCACCAGUGCUCCAGGCCUGUGGGGACCAGCCUGUCACGGCCCAGGGCUCCAGGCCUGCAGGAGCUGCGCUUGGGAUUGGGGGAAUGAACCCAGGUGGGGAAAUGGUCAAAGAGCGAUGGGCCCAGAAAAGGGUCAGACCCAGAUGGAGAUGCUACUGGCUGCUAGCAGACCCCCACGCUGGGUCUAGCCCACCCAAUCCCAUGGGGAUGCUCCUGUGCUCUGCAGACAUCUGGGUGCUGCCACAGGGGCCCGACAGAGUUGGCAUCUGGGUGGAUCUGAGCCAAGUGGUGCUUCUGGGCCUCAGCAAGUAGCUGGUGCCGAUUCUGGGCAGCCAACUGUGGCAGCGUCUUCAGGUGCGAGUGCUGCUGGGUGAAGCUGCGUGGGCAGUCCAGAAAGUGACGUGACAGUCCACAGGGACCGACGUAGGGUUUCCAGCCCCUAUCUGUGCAGAUGCUGUCCUCCAAACCAUCACGGUCCCUCUCUGGCUGGGGACGUGUGCCUGCCACUGCUGGCUUGCCAGCAUGAUCAUUGGUUGUGACCUGUUGAGCCCAUCUUGCCAGCCUCACAAAGGACAGUACCAGCUGCUUAUGACAGGAAAGUGGAAGAACUUGGCCUGGAUAUUUCUGGAGAAUUACCGUGUGUGCUAGUCAGUCUUUCGUGUCAACCAGGCCAGGCUGUGGGGCCCAGUGAUCUCAUCGCGACGGGCCGAGGUGUUGCUGUGAUCGUGUGCUGCUGGAAUGUGGUGAACACCUACAGUCCAUUUCACCUAAAGAUCAUCCUUGAGAAUGUGGGUGGGCCUCAUCCUAUCAGCUGAAAGCUUUAAGAGCAAAACCCGAGGUGUCCCAGAGAGGGAAUUCUGCCUUGAGACGGCGGCUUCCACUCCCACUGGAUGUCCAGCCCGCGGCCCCACGGCUGGGUGAGCCCGUCCUCUCCUCGUUUCUGCCUCCUGUUUGUUCUGUCUCUGGACCCACGGUGUGGCCCCAGACCCUCCAGUGAGGACCUCCCGUGUUUCUUCAGAGCAGCCCUUGCGUGCUGGAGGCCUGGGCUUCAGUGUGUCCCUGGGUGCCCUGGGGCAUGUUCUGUGACCUCCCAGCUCCUCGCCUCAUGGGGCCGCUGUAUCAAGUGACACAGUUUGUGUGCUGCGUACCAUGCCUGGCACCCAUUUGAGGUGUUGCAAGGAGGCCAUGUUUGCUCGAUGAGAGCAGCCUAAGAUCUACAAACUGUUGUUCGAGUGGAUGGGAACUUGAUGCUAUUUCAGGCUGAAUGACAAGACUCCGCGAUGCUUCUCGGCCUGGGCUGCACAACGGAAUCUACCAGGGAGGUUUUAAAAACACUGGUACUUGCUGGAGGUGGUGGCGCCUGUCUGUAAUUGCAGCUGCUCCAGAGGCUGAGGCGGAGGAUUGCUUGAGCCCAAGAGUUUCGGUUUAUUUGCUUUUUCAGAGUCUUGCUCUAGCCCAGGCUGGAGUGCAGUUCCAUGAUCUCGGCUCACUGCCUCAGCCUCCCAAGUAGCUGGGAUUACAGGUGCAUACAACCAGGCCUGGCUGAUCUUCGUAUUUUUAGUAGAGAUGGGGUUUCACCAUGAUGGUCAGGCUGGUGAAGAUCUCCUGACCUCAAGUGAUCUGCCUGCCUCGGCCUCCCAAAGUGCUGGGAUUACAGACAUGAACCACAACACCUGCCGAGCCCAGGUGUUUUGAAUCCAGCAUGGGCAACGGCAAGACCCUGUCCCAGCAAACAAAAAAACACUGGUGCCUGAGGCCCACCCCGAGAGAUUCUGAUUGAGUUGAUUUGGAUGUGAAUUAUCUUUAAAAUUUUGGAUGUGAAUUUUUUUUUUUUUUCUUGGAAUGGAGUUUCACUCUUGUUCCCCAGGCUGGAGUGCAACGGGACGAUCUUGGCUCACCGCAACCUCUGCCUACUGGGUUCAAGCCAUUCUCCUGCCUCAGCUUCCCAAGUAGCUGGGAUUACAGGCAUGUGCUACCAUGCCCAGCUAAUUUUGUAUUUUUAGUAGAGACAGG